rnacentral:rRNA from 1 species
CACGUAGGGCGCAAGCGUUGUCCGGAAUUAUUGGGCGUAAAGAGCUCGUAGGCGGUCUGUUGCGUCCGCUGUGAAAACUCGGGGCUUAACCCCGAGCCUGCAGUGGAUACGGGCAGACUAGAGGUAGGUAGGGGAGAAUGGAAUUCCCGGUGUAGCGGUGAAAUGCGCAGAUAUCGGGAGGAACACCGGUGGCGAAGGCGGUCUGCUGGGCAGUAGCUGACACUGAGGCACGAAGGUCAGGGGAGCAAACGGG